UACGAGUGCCCCAAGCGUUGUCCGGAAUCACUGGGCGUAAAGGGUUCGUAGGCGGUUUUGUUAGUCUUCUGUAAAAGACCGGGGCCCAACCUCGGUUUCGCAGGAGAAACGGCAAGACUUGAGAGCAGAAGAGGUGCAUGGAACUCACGGUGUAGGGGUGAAAUCCGUUGAUAUCGUGGGGAACACCAAAGGCGAAGGCAGUGCACUGGUCUGUUUCUGACGCUGAUGAACGAAAGCCAGGGUAGCGAAUGGG
rnacentral:rRNA from 1 species